rnacentral:lncRNA from 1 species
ACAGACUGGCCCACCUGGCUUCUAACCUUAUAGGCUGUUUUGGUAUUUUUCUCUUGGUUAUUCUAGCACUGAGGCCAAAAUAACUAUGAGAGGGAUUUAGUUUAUAGUUAAACUUGGAGGCAAGGGAAACGAACCCCCUCCACCCCAUCCAGAGAUUCGGGCUGCAUUCACAUGACAAGGUUAGUAUUAUGGCAGGGGCUUGGACCUUGCUAAAGAAUAGGAAUAAUUAAGCACUGAUUGCUGUCGCUUAGCAGGUUUUCUGUAAGUUACCGACUGCCCCAGAGUCACAUAACUGAGGACUGCAAGAUUUAUAACUUCCGGGCCGGGCUCAGUGGCUCCGGGCCGGGCUCAGUGGCUCCCGCCUGUCAUUCCAGCACUUUGGGAGGCUGAGGUGGGUGGAUCACGAGGUCAGGAGUUCAAGACCAGCCUGUCCAAGAUGGUGAAACCCUGUCUCUACUAAAAAUACAAAAAAAUUAGCGGGGCGCGGUGGCAGGCGCCUGUAAUCCCAGCUACUCAGGAGUCUGAGGCAGGAGAAUCCUUUGAACCCGGGAGGCAGAGGUUUCAGUGAGGCGAGAUCAUGCCGCUGCACUCCAGCCUGGGUGACGGAGUGAGACCCUGUCUCAAACAAAAACAAAAAGAAAAAGAAAACAAGCACAAUACCACAACCAGUACCACAGAAAACCUCAACCAAUGGUCAUAGAAGCAGCUGAAAAUGUUAUCUAAGACUACCUCUAAGCAAACUUCUAGAAACACACACAUGCAUACCUGCCAAAAAUGUUUAGCCUGAAUCUAAUCAAGCUCUCCAUCCUAAUGUGCAGUUUGUAGGAAUCUGGGGAAACAGAGCAAGAACAUGUUAAAUGACACUUCCAGGAAACAAAGACCCAGAAUGAGGGACAUUUUCCAAGACAACAGCCCGGUUUUCUUCCAAAAGUCAAUCGAAAAAUAGGCAAAGGACACAAGCAAUUCACCAAAGAAAUGCCACAUCCAAUAUACCUUCAAUAAAUAUGUUCACUUACAAGCAAUUGAAGACAUGCUC